rnacentral:rRNA from 1 species
CAAGGCUUGACAUAUACCGGAAAGCAUUAGAGAUAGUGCCCCCCUUGUGGUCGGUAUACAGGUGGUGCAUGGCUGUCGUCAGCUCGUGUCGUGAGAUGUUGGGUUAAGUCCCGCAACGAGCGCAACCCUUGUCCUGUGUUGCCAGCAUGCCCUUCGGGGUGAUGGGGACUCACAGGAGACCGCCGGGGUCAACUCGGAGGAAGGUGGGGACGACGUCAAGUCAUCAUGCCCCUUAUGUCUUGGGCUGCACACGUGCUACAAUGGCCGGUACAAUGAGCUGCGAUACCGCAAGGUGGAGCGAAUCUCAAAAAGCCGGUCUCAGUUCGGAUUGGGGUCUGCAACUCGACCCCAUGAAGUCGGAGUUGCUAGUAAUCGCAGAUCAGCAUUGCUGCGGUGAAUA